UACGUAGGGGGCAAGCGUUGUCCGGAUUUAUUGGGCGUAAAGAGCUCGUAGGCGGUUCCGUAAGUCGUGAAGUCAAAUCUCUGGGCUCAACCCAGAAUCGCUUCCGAUACUGCGGUGACUGGAGUCCGGUAGGGGAGUGUGGAAUUCCUGGUGUAGCGUGAAAUGCGCAGAUAUCAGGAGGAACACCGGUGGCGAAGGCGGGUCUCUGGGCAAUAACUGACGCUGAGGAGCGAAAGCGUGGGGAGCGAACAGG
rnacentral:rRNA from 1 species